UUUAUUUGUUUCUCUCUGUUUUCUCUUAGGUGGAUUGAUGAAGACACUGUCCGAGUUAGAUUGUGUAUGUGUGUAAUGAGAUGGUUUGAUGAAGAGGCAUCACACAGGUUCAUGAGACAAAGAGCGUACGAUUGUUCAUACAGGCUGCGAGGCAACGAGGUCACGGGUUUAUCUUAUAUCUUUGGACAGAGGAAAGCAUAGUUCACGGGUUUGUACUGGAGAGAAUGAGAGAAUGUGAGUGAGAGAGUGUUGUUCUUGUCGGGUCACGAGAGUUAGAGAGUGUUGUCUUUUUGUAAA